rnacentral:rRNA from 1 species
CGCGUAGGCGGCUUUGUAAGUUAGAGGUGAAAGCCCGGGGCUCAACCCCGGAACAGCCUUUAAGACUGCAUCGCUAGAAUCCGGGAGAGGUGAGUGGAAUUCCGAGUGUAGAGGUGAAAUUCGUAGAUAUUCGGAAGAACACCAGUGGCGAAGGCGGCUCACUGGACCGGCAUUGACGCUGAGGUGCGAAAGCGUGGGGAGCAAACA